AUCAACGCUGGCGGCAUGCCUACACAUGCAAGUCGAACGCGGUUCCCGCAGGGGCAACUCAGUAGUGGCGAACGGGUGAGUAAGCACUGGUGACCGUACCUUCGUAGUGGGGGAUAACCGGCCGAAAGGACGCGAAUACCAUACCGCCUAUGCCUUUACAGGCGGAAUCAAAGCCGGGGAUCGCAAGACCUGUCGCUAUGAGAGGGGCCGCUGUCCGAUUAGCUAGUUGGGGAGGUAAUGGCUCACCAAGGCGACGAUCGGUAGCCGGUCCUGAGAGGGCUGAUCAGGCCACACUGGGACUGAGACACGGCCCAGACUCCUACGGGAGGCAGCAGUGGGGAAUUUUCGGCAAUGGGCGCAAGCCUGAUCCACGCCACUGCCGCGUGGAGGAUGAAGGCCUUCGGAUUGUAAACGCCUUUUGGUCCGGGACGAAAUGACUCACUACCUAACUAGGCGUGGUACUUGACGGUACCGGUGAGAAAGCCCCGGCUAACUACUGUGCCAGCAGCCGCGGUAAUACAGUAGGGUGCGAGCGUUAAUCGGAAUUACUGGGCGUAAAGGUGCGCGUAGGCGGUCCUGCUAUGUCGACUGUGAAAGCCCCGAGCUCAACCCUGGGAACUGCGUCCUGGAUAACUGGCAGGCUGGAAGUCGUGGCAGAGGGGGAUGCGGAAUUCCAGUGUAGCAGUGAAAUGCGUAGGAUGCUGGAGGAACACCGAUGGCGAAGGCAGCAUCCUGGACCGUAAUUGACGCUGAGGCCGAAAGCCGUGGGAGCAAACAGGAUUAGGAUACCCCUGGUAGUCCAUGCCCUAAACGAUGUAAUGCUGGGUGUUGGCGGUAAGCGAUCCUGCCGUACCGUAGCUAACGCAGUGAAGCUUGACCACCUGGGGAGUACGGUCGCAAGGCUUAAAACUCAAAGGAAUUGACGGGGGACCCGCACAAGCGGUGGAUGCAUGUGGAUUUAAUUCGACUGCAACGCGAAGAACCUUACCCAGGCUCGAACGGUAACUGACAUCCUACGAAAGUAGGCUCCCGCAAGGGCAGUUAUCGAGGUGCUGCAUGGCUGUCGUCAGCUCGUGUCGUGAGAUGUUGGGUUAAGUCCCGCAACGAGCGCAACCCUUGUCUUCUGUUGCCAUCGGGUUAUGCCGGGCACUCUGAAGAGACUGCCGGUGACAAACCGGAGGAAGGUGGGGAUGACGUCAAGUCAGCAUGGCCUUUAUGUCUGGGGCCACACACGUGCUACAAUGGCCGGUACAAACCGUCGCGAUACCGUAAGGUGGAGCUAAUCGGAGAAAGCCGGUCUCAGUUCGGAUUGUAGGCUGCAACUCGCCUGCAUGAAGUUGGAAUCGCUAGUAAUCGCGGAUCAGCACGCCGCGGUGAAUACGUUCCCGGGCCUUGUACACACCGCCCGUCACAUCACGAAAGCUGGCUGUACUAGAAGUCGCCGCGCUAACCCGCAAGGGAAGCAGGUGCCUAAGGUAUGGUCAGUGAUUGGGGUG
rnacentral:rRNA from 1 species